rnacentral:rRNA from 1 species
CACCGCGGCCAUACGAUUAACCCAAAUCAAUAAACACCGGCGUAAAGCGUGCCAAAGAGACCACAACAAAAUAAAGUUAAGAUCUGACUAAGAUGUAAAAAUCACAAGUCAACAUAAAAAUAAACCACGAAAGUGACUUUACACACUCUAAUUGCACGAUAGCUAAGACC